rnacentral:piRNA from 1 species
UGAAAGGUCAUCAGGAUUAUCCUGUAAC